rnacentral:rRNA from 1 species
AAUUGGAAAGAGGAGUGGCGGACGGGUGAGUAACACGUGGGUAACCUACCCAUCAGAGGGGGAUAACACUUGGAAACAGGUGCUAAUACCGCAUAACAGUUUAUGCCGCAUGGCAUAAGAGUGAAAGGCGCUUUCGGGUGUCGCUGAUGGAUGGACCCGCGGUGCAUUAGCUAGUUGGUGAGGUAACGGCUCACCAAGGCCACGAUGCAUAGCCGACCUGAGAGGGUGAUCGGCCACACUGGGACUGAGACACGGCCCAGACUCCUACGGGAGGCAGCAGUAGGGAAUCUUCGGCAAUGGACGAAAGUCUGACCGAGCCACGCCGCGUGAGUGAAGAAGGUUUUCGGAUCGUAAAACUCUGUUGUUAGAGAAGAACAAGGACGUUAGUAACUGAACGUCCCCUGACGGUAUCUAACCAGAAAGCCACGGCUAACUACGUGCCAGCAGCCGCGGUAAUACGUAGGUGGCAAGCGUUGUCCGGAUUUAUUGGGCGUAAAGCGAGCGCAGGCGGUUUCUUAAGUCUGAUGUGAAAGCCCCCGGCUCAACCGGGGAGGGUCAUUGGAAACUGGGAGACUUGAGUGCAGAAGAGGAGAGUGGAAUUCCAUGUGUAGCGGUGAAAUGCGUAGAUAU